GACGAACCGUCCAAACGUUGUUCGGAUUUACUGGGCGUAAAGGGCGCGUAGGCGGCCCUCCUUGUCGCGUGUGAAAGCCCCGGGCUCAACCUGGGAACGGCGCGCGAGACGGGGGGGCUGGAGUUCGGGAGAGGAGCGUGGAAUUCCCAGUGUAGAGGUGAAAUUCGUAGAUAUUGGGAAGAACACCGGUGGCGAAGGCGGCGCUCUGGACCGAGACUGACGCUGAGGCGCGAAAGCGUGGGGAGCAAACAGG
rnacentral:rRNA from 1 species